rnacentral:misc_RNA from 1 species
GAUGAAGAACGUAGCGAAAUGCGAUAAGUAGUGUGAAUUGCAGAAUUCAGUGAAUCAUCGAAUCUUUGAACGCACAUUGCGCCCUUUGGUAUUCCAAAGGGCAUGCCUGUUCGAGCGUCAUUUGUACCCUCAAGCUUUGCUUGGUGUUGGGCGUCUUGUCUCUAGCUUUGCUGGAGACUCGCCUUAAAGUAAUUGGCAGCCGGCCUACUGGUUUCGGAGCGCAGCACAAGUCGCACUCUCUAUCAGCAAAGGUCUAGCAUCCACUAAGCCUUUUUUUCAACUUUUGACCUCGGAUCAGGUAGGGAUACCCGCUGAACUUAAGCAUAUCAAUAAGCGGAGGA